GACAACUUCCAGCUUCUCCAGAAGUGGCAAAUAACUUUCCAACUGGGUAUCCACACAGAAAUAUGUGAGCAUGCUUACAUGGCAUGUGCUGCCCCACCUCCCCCUGUGAGGAGCUUGGUUACAGCUACAGCAUUUCUACAACCUCUUUAAACCAACUUUGUAGUAUCCGGCAGCAAAGUAUCAUUCCCUGACAUUCGAGUCAUUGAGUCUCUGAAGACUUGGAAAAGGGAUAAUAAGCCAAAUCAUUCAGGAACCAGGGGGUCCCAGAGAGGUAAGCCUGCACAAAGGAUUGAAAGGGC
rnacentral:lncRNA from 1 species